CAUUGAAAGAACUAACCUGCAGAAAAGGCUGCUGCCCUUCAAACUGUGUACUGUUGUCUAAGCUAGUUCAGAAGAAUACACGAGCUUCCUUCACAUACUCCAAUCUGUUGGUUUGACUUCUGAAGAACCAGCAGAGUUGGAAAGGCCUCGAGAUCUCUGUCCUGGUGCUGGCCUGGGGCUCCCCUAGGUCUCGCCUGAAAGUGUCCCAUUCACCACCAGUCUUCUACAAUGUUAUCCGGAAUGGAACGAAGUACUACACCCACAAGUCCUGAAGGUACUGACCAAAACAGGAGGGAGAGACGGGACCGGGGCUGCUGUGACUGGAGGCUGAUGGGGCUCCACCGUGCCCCAUCCUCUCAUCCCACAGUCUUCCUUCACAUCUGCUCUGCCCACCACAGCCCUGCUCUGGAGUUCUCUGCUCUGCCACUUCUGCCAUCCCCACCUAGGCAGACAGGUUUCAUCCAGCCUCCAGGACGGCCCACCCACUUGCUCCUGCAGCAGGCUGCUCUUCCCAGGUGCACAGCCCAGAGAAUUAAGUGCAUAUAUUUACCAGAAGACAUGACCAAAGCCAUUCCUGGGGUUGCCUUCAUGUAGCCAACAUCUGGAACUAACACCAAAGUUCAUUAGGCACAAAAUAAAAGAGUUAUCUGGA
rnacentral:lncRNA from 1 species